rnacentral:rRNA from 1 species
AUGCAUUCGUUGGCAUUUUUUUUCCUUCAGCGGGGCAUGCACCGGCUGGCAAUGCCAGCCCUAGCUGCCCGGGCCGCCUGGGCCUGCCGUGCACGUCUCCAUCGGUACAUUCUGCAUGAACAUAAUGCAUGCUCCCCCACCCUCUCCACCGAUCUCCCCGUUAUAUACUCCCACCACCCCCCUUCCCAGGAGCUCGACAUCGCGACGUCGACGUACGGGCGCUCUCCUUCGUCGUCUCGAUCAGGCCGACCUCUCGUCUCAGCGCCCUCAGCCUGCAUGGAUCGGCGGCCGGAGGGCGGCAGGGCGAGGAAGCGCGCGCGGGAGGAGCCGGACCAGGCGGCGGACUUCCCCUUCGACGAGGCGGCGGCGGCCGCCGACGCCGGGGAGGCGUGGCGGAGGCCGCCGGGCGUGUUCCAGUUCCCCUGGCAGAAGUGCCGCGGCGGGCUCGGCGUGGCCGGCGGCGGCGGCUGGGAGCUGCGGGACGUCUUCUUCCACUCCCUCGUCGACGGCGGCGCCGCGGCCAUCGGCGUGCCGGGCGACCGCCUCGUCUCGCCGCCGCCGCCCAGCAAGCAGCGCGCGCUCUUCGACGACGUCGACGCCUGGCUCGCCGCCGCCGCCGACGGCGAGGUCGACCCCGUCUGGCGGUCGGCGAUCAGGGGCGCCGGGCCCUCCGCGUCGGCGGUGUGA